GAGAUUAUCAUGGCCUACGUCAUCAAGGUGUGCAGGUGGUGAAAAUUCAAAUCGGACAAAAAAAAUCUAAUUCGUGUACUGUGGUAAGCCAGGCGAGUAUUGAACUCCAUAGCACUGUGUAAAGCUGAGCAAACCUUACUUUUAAGAGACUUUCCUCUGUUUGUUAGUAGACUAGACACUAGACAACUACAGAAAGAAAACGCGAAAAAAAAGAAAAGAAAAACACAGAUGCAGUAAAGUGUUCAAAAACACGUUUUAGUUCCAAACCGGCUGCUGGUGUUUGUGAUGAUGGGGAGAUGAGCGGUCAGAAAGCAGGUGUGUGUGCUUCAGUUAUGUGGGGAAGAGAUGGAUGCACCAGGAUGCACUAUGGGAAGAAGACAAGCUGGCGGAGGCAGUAUGAUGCUCUGGACCGAGUACAGCCCUUCAUGGCACCUGUAUUCUCUAAUGGCAGUGGCCUCUUUCAGCAAGAUCUCAGUCCAGUCGAGCAUCUGUGGAAUGUGCUGGACAAACAAGUCUGAUGCAUGGAGGCUCCACCUGGCAACUUACAGGACUUAAAGGAUCUACUGCUAACAUCUUGGUGCAAGAUACCACAGCACACCUUCAGAGGUCUCGUCGGGUCAGAGCUGUUUUGGCGGCACAAGGGAAACCUACACAAUAUUAGGCAGGAGGUUUUAAUGUUAUGGCUGAUCUGUGUGUGUGUGUGUGUGUGUGUAAUAUAUAUAUAUAUAUAUAAUCAAUGCGCUAAUUAGAAGAAGUUUUUAUUUGUCACAUAUAUAUUACAGCACAGUAAAAUUCCUUUCUUCGCAUAUCCCAGCUUGUUAGGAAGCUAGGGUCAGAGAUGAUAUGGGGCCUAACAGUGGCAGCUUGGCAGUGCUGGGGUUUAAACCCCCUUCCUUCUGAUCAGUAAGCCAGAGCCAUAAACGUUGAGUCAGCACAUGUGAUCAUUCUGAUCAUUAAAACGUUUACAAAGGAAAAUAGUCAACUAUUCAGUUGAAUAGUUCAGUUAACUAUUACCAGUUUGUGAAACUGGGGCAAAAUGUAUUCUGAGGCAUACUUUUAAAUGACUAAGCACUGUAUUAACAGGCUUUCACUGAAGCAGAGUGAGGGAUGUACUGGUUUACAGCAGCAGUUGAGCUCUGAUUUGAUUGUAUAGUUACUCCCUCUAGUGGUGAUUUUGUGAGUAUAUCUGAGUGUGUGUGUUCUCUGUAGUCUCUCCUUGCCCUGCAGCAAUAUGCUUUUAUGUCUGUGGUUCUUAAUCCAGCUUCUGUUAAAUUAUUAAGCUACAGAUAUCCUCCCCCCGACACACACGCACACACAGACUGAAUAAUACUGUACAUACUCCCUGCACUGUAUAGCCUGUGUGUCUAAUAUUUAGUGUGAAUAAAUACACACUUCACAUAGCCUGGUUGCUUCUACUAAAUUAAAGGCUUUUAUAAUAGUAUUUGAAAAGAUAUUCCUGACUGCAACAGUGCCUUCAAGUAAGUGGGGUUUGCAUUGAAAACUCAUUUGAAACAAACUAUUUACUUUAUAGAGCAACAGCGAUGAUUUAUAAUCCCACUAACCGGUGGCACCCAGAAGAGGACGUUCCCAGGAAGCUUUUCCCUUGCCACUGUAGCUCCUGAAUUGCUUAUUGGAGAUCUCAAUAUGCAUCUACAUCUUGAUUUCUGUAACGCUGCUUUCUGACGAUGUCUAUUGUUUAAAGUAAUGUGUAA